AUUCCCUCUUUCAAUUUUAUGAUUUAUGAGUGUGCAUUCACUGUGUAAUAAAACAAACAAUAUCAAAUAUGUAUAAACAAAAAGACAAAUUCAUGAUUAUUCAGCACGAAUGCACAAACCUCUGCCCACACUCUCUGCAUAUAUACACAAAAUGUGGACCAAAUGCACCUUGUGGUUUUAAACGUGCCCACGCUUAUGGUAAACUGUGUGGGAACUUCAUCCAAAACUUGGUUUUGUAACAUUCAAUAUGGAGGUAAGACUAUGUAGAACAACAGGACUGAUGCACCUCCAAAUAUUAGCUGCAAAAUAAUAAAACGGAGCAACGAUGGUAUAAAAAUAGAGCUGAACCUAACACACCCGCACUUUAAUUCUGAUCUGCAUAACCCUGUUACCCCAGCAUUAACCACGCAAAUAAGUUUUUUUUUUUGUUUUUUUUUUUCAUACUUUGUAGCAGAUAUUUAGGAGCUUUACUAUUUGUCAUGUUUGCUGGGAGCUUUUUCACAUCUAUCUAGACUUGUCAGAACUUUGAAACUUUCUUCAUUCGCUUGAAGCCCCUCUCUGUUCUCAAGAGACUCAUUCAUGCAACACAGCUGGGGGUUUAAACCAGUGCUGCUCUGUAGUUAGUUCAUCUCUCCAACUGCACAGUCAUUCUUUACCCAACCUCCCCAUAGCAAAACCACAAUCGCACUGAAGAGAAUUCAUGACAGAUGAACUUCCUUGUAAAUCCAUUAUCCCAAAUUCAGCUUUCCGCACACACACACACAAAAAGUCAUCUCAGAUAACCAGCGAUGACUAAUGGAAAGUGCACGAAUUCCCGUAACCGAGCUUACCUCCUAAGAAAAUGACUUCUUAAUCUAUAUAAACCUACAUACACAUGGUGCUCGAGUAAAAAAAAAAAAAGAAAAAAAAAAAGGGGGGGGGGAAGAGGUUGUGACCGCAGAGUGAGUCCCCAAAUCCUUAGCCACAGAUAAAGCCUGUCCACUGACUCACUCACACAGCGCAGCAGAUGAGCUGCAUUGCUUUCCC
ensembl:lncRNA